AUCCUUUUGUAAUUCAUGAGCAUGAUGAUGGGAUAUCACACUCGUGUGAGAUAUGCCUCCCUCAAACCUUCUUCCUGUUGGUUGGAACUUUGCCCACCUGACA